rnacentral:other from 1 species
UUAUUACUGCUUUAUGCGAUUAAAUGUAUGGUUUUUAUAUAAUCCAACAAAUUAUAUUAGGGAGAUAAUGUCGUUUAGCUAAUUGUAUGCCUUUGCACCUGAGAAUCCGUUUUCUACGCGGAGCGAGCCAGUGGUAAGCACAAAAACAUCAGUGUUGCUUAGGAAACGUGCGGUUAAUUGCUUGUCGCCCACCUGCUUUUUUUGCGGGUUAGCUAUAUGCCAUAUGCGGUAAAGUGGUUUUAAG